CAAUAACGUAUAUUAAAGUUGUUGCGGCUAAAAGCUCGUAGUUGGAUUUCUGCUGAGGACGAUCGGCCCGCCCUCUGGGUGAGCAUUGACUCGGCCUUGGCAUCUUCUUGGAGAACGCUACUGCGCUUGACUGUGCGGCGGGGUAUCCAGGACUCUUACGUUGAGGAAAUUAGAGUGUUUCAAGCAGGCGCGCGCCUUGAAUACAUUAGCAUGGAAUAAUAGGAUAGGACCUUGGUUCUAUUUUGUUGGUUUCUAGAGCUGAGGUAAUGAUUAAUAGGGGUAGUUGGGGGCAUUCGUAUUUAACUGUCAGAGGUGACAUUCUUGGAUUUGUUAAGGACGGACUACUGCGAAAGCAUUUGCCACGGAUUUUUUCAUUGAUCAAGAACGAAAGUUAGGGGAUCGAAGACGAUCAGAUACCAU
rnacentral:rRNA from 1 species